AGGUGGGAGUUUGAAUGGAGUGCUGUGGAGGAAAGUGAUGAUUUAGCCGCCAAAUAACCAAGACUUAAAAAAGAUAGUAACAGCAUGGUAUCCAAAUUUGGAGUCCCUUGCUGAAAAGCUUGUAGAAACUUUUGAAGUGGUUAACCCUAUCUAUCUACACCAAUCCUUGGACUUCAAUCCUGGAAAACCUGUUUCCUUAAGUUCACUCAGCAAGUUCUCAUUGAGGGAUCUACUCAAGUGGUGUAAAAGAAUUGCUGGACUGGGUUUUAGUUUUACCUCUGAUGUUUUGACAGCUUUUGAAUGCCUUUGUAUUUAUCAGGAGGCAGUGGACGUAUUUGCUAGCUUUUCAACAUCUGUUGGAAACCGGUUGGCUAUAAUGAAAGAGAUUGCGAAGAAGUGGGCGGUUCCAACUUAUCAGGCAGAAACUUUGUAUCCUCACGAUGAACCUAUAA